GAGAGUGGCGAACGGGUGAGUAAUAUAUCGGAACGUGCCCAGUCGUGGGGGAUAACGCAGCGAAAGCUGCGCUAAUACGGCAUACGAUCUAUGGAUGAAAGCGGGGGAUCGCAAGACCUCGCGCGAUUGGAGCGGCCGAUAUCAGAUUAGGUAGUUGGUGGGGUAAAAGCCCACCAAGCCGACGAUCUGUAGCUGGUCUGAGAGGACUACCAGCCACUCUGGGACUGAGACACGGCCCAGACUCCUACUGGAGGAAGCGGUGGGGAAUUUUGGACAAUGGGCGCAAGCCUGAUCCACCACUGCCCCGUGCACGACGAAGGCCUUCGGGUUGCUAAACUGCUUUUGCACUGAGCGGAACUGUCGGGGUUAGUACCCUGGGCUAAUGACGGUACCGCAAGAAUAAGCACCGGCUAACUACGUGCCACCUGCCGCAGUAGUACGUAGGGUGCGAGCGUUAAUCGGAAUUACUGGUCGUACCGUGUGCCCAUGCGGUUUUGUGGUAAAGGCGUGAAAUCCCCGGGCUCAUCCUGCGCAAUGGCCAUCGUUACUGCGAAGUUGCGCGUGCUUCACAUUGGGAUGGAAUUUGCGUGUAACUUGAAAGCGUACAUUUCCGACGAACACCUAUGGCUGAGCAUCCCCUGGCCUGCCUGAUGACAUGCCAAAAGCGUGGAGACCAACAAUCUAGAUACCCUGGUACUCCACGCCCUAACGAUGUCAACUGGUGUUGGUCCUUAGUGGAUCAGUAACGAAGCUAACGCGGAAGUGACCGCCUGGGGAGACGGCCGCAAGGUUGAAACUCAAAGGAAUGACGGGACCCGCACAAGCGGGGAUGAUGGGUCUAAUUCGAUGAACGCGAAAACCUUACCCACCUUUACAGGCAGGAAGGCUUCAGAGAUGAGGCUGUGCUCGAAAGAGAACCUGCACACAGGUGCUGCAUGGCUGUCGUCAGCUCGUGUCGUGAGAUGUUGGGUUAAGUCCCGCAACGAGCGCAACCCUUGCCAUUAGUUGCUACGAAAGGGCACUCUAAUGGGACUGCCGGUGACAAGCCGGAGGAAGGUGGGGAUGACGUCAAGUCCUCCUGGCCCUUAUAGGUGGGGCUACACACGUCAUACAAUGGCCGGUACAAAGGGCAGCCAACCCGCGAGGGGGAGCCAAUCCCAUAAAGCUCGGUCGUAGUCCGGAUCGCAGUCUGCAACUCGACUGCGUGAAGUCGGAAUCGCUAGUAAUCGUGGAUCAGCAUGUCACGGUGAAUACGUUCCCGGGUCUUGUACACACCGCCCGUCACACCAUGGGAGCGGGUCUCGCCA
rnacentral:rRNA from 1 species